rnacentral:rRNA from 1 species
AUUGAACGCUGGCGGCAUGCUUUACACAUGCAAGUCGAACGGUAACAGGCCGCAAGGUGCUGACGAGUGGCGAACGGGUGAGUAAUGCAUCGGAACGUGCCCAGUCGUGGGGGAUAACGCAGCGAAAGCUGCGCUAAUACCGCAUACGAUCUAUGGAUGAAAGCGGGGGACCGUAAGGCCUCGCGCGAUUGGAGCGGCCGAUGUCAGAUUAGGUAGUUGGUGGGGUAAAGGCCCACCAAGCCAACGAUCUGUAGCUGGUCUGAGAGGACGACCAGCCACACUGGGACUGAGACACGGCCCAGACUCCUACGGGAGGCAGCAGUGGGGAAUUUUGGACAAUGGGCGCAAGCCUGAUCCAGCAAUGCCGCGUGCAGGAAGAAGGCCUUCGGGUUGUAAACUGCUUUUGUACGGAACGAAACGGUUCUCUCUAAUACAGGGGGCUAAUGACGGUACCGUAAGAAUAAGCACCGGCUAACUACGUGCCAGCAGCCGCAGUAACAC